CUGGAUUUUACUGCUUUUCUGGGGCAGUCACAGACUUGCCAGUGGAUGGAGUCAGUGGUGGUCCUUGUCCAGCAGGCCAUUAUUGUCCUUCAGGUUCCAUUUCUCCUCAUCCUUGUGCCAAUGGACUGUAUCAGGCACAUGAACGCCAGUCAAUUUGUGAUCCAUGUCCUGCUGGGUUCUACUGCUUCUGUCCUGAAUCAAGAGGUGUUACCUUUCCCCAGACAUGUCCGUCUGGCCACUUCUGCCCUGAGGGAACAGCAUAUCCCAAUGAGUAUAAAUGUCCCAAAGGUACAUUCAGCAUAAUCGAGGGACUGACCACCAAAGAGCAAUGUAUACCAUGCCCUGCUGGCUACUUCUGUGAUUCUGAAGGCUUGAGUGAACCAUCUGGCCCCUGUCUUCCUGGUUACAGCUGCAUUCAUGCUGCUCAAGUGCCAAAUCCAGAAGAUGGUAUCACUGGAAACAUCUGUCCAAGGGGCAAAUACUGUGAAGUUGGC